GGAUUAAUUUAUUGGUCGUGCAAUCGUACGUACUGGUAUUAUUGAUUCCUACCUUCUGACGAACCAUGAUGUCAUUAAUUUGGUGUUAUGGGAAAUCAGGACUGUUACUUUGAAAAAAUUAGAGUGUUUAAAGCAGGCUCACGCUUAAAUACAUUAGCAUGGAAUAGCGAAAUAGGACGUUUGAUUCUAUUUUGUUGGUUUCUAGGAUCGACGUA
rnacentral:rRNA from 1 species